rnacentral:rRNA from 1 species
CCUACGGGAGUCAGCAGUGGGGAAUAUUGCCCAAUGGGGGAAACCCUGCUGCCGCGACGCCGCGUGAGUGCAGUAGUAUUUCGGUAUGUAAAGCUCUAUCCGCAGGGAAGAAACUGACGGUACCUGAUUAAGAAGCCCCGGCUAACUACGUGCCAGCAGACGCGGUACUACGUAGGGGGCAAGCGUUAUCCUGAUUUACUGGGUGUAAAGGGCGCGUAGACGGCAGCACAAGUCUGGCGUGAAAUGCCGGGGCUUAACCCCGGAACUGCUUUGGAAACUGUGCAGCUAGAGUGCAGGAGAGGUAAGUGGAAUGCCUAGAGUAGCGGUGAAAUGCGUAGAUAUUAGGAGGAACACCAGUGGCGAAGGCGGCGUACUGGACUGUAACUGACGUUGAGGCUCGAAAGCGUGGGGAGCAAACAGGAUUAGAUACCCGAGUAGUC